AUGAGGAGCAGAGAGAAGAAAAACUUAGAUGCCAUAUAUAUAUAUAUAUAUAUAUAAAAAAAAACUGGAUGUAUGCCACCGCAGUCUCUGCAGUGCAGGCCACAUGCCAGAUCUCUUUCUUAGCCUGCUUCAUUGAUAGAAGAUGUUUUAGUUCCUGUGAAGUGGCGAGAAUAUUGUUGCAGGUGUUGCAUAUGGAUACAGAACUGCAGUGAGAGACUUGAGUAAUGAGGAUACACCCCCAUCACCAGUUCAGUUUUGCCUCACUCUUCUCCCCUGCCUUUCCACAGCCUUUAUUACUAGCUGAAGGGAACUACCCUGAGAGAUGGACCAAUGCAAGAGGAUGCCAACUCUCCACAGUUGAUGGUACUGAGGCACUGCAAAAUCUGACUGAUAGCAAAAUCCUGCAAGUGCAAGAAUUACUAGGAUCCACAGCUGCCUAUAAGGAGACUAUCAGGAUGAGUCUCUCUGGCUCAGCAACAGCACUACAAUAACAGUCAUCGCUAUUCCUCUUGGUUGUCUCUGCACAAACCUCCCAGCACUGAUUCUGGCAGGACUUGCUAGCCUGAGAAUAACAUAACAGGAAUGCCUGGCACAAAGUCACUUUCAUGGCUCUGCAUGGGACUGAUUUUUGUCUGUCAGGGCAUAUUAGCUCUGGUGUUGCCCAGAAGAGGCUGUACUGCUUAGCAGGCUAUGGCCUGGAGCUACUUGCUAGUAUGUGCUCCCGCUUUGCUCCUCACCUCCUCUUGACCUCCCACUAGAUAAGCAAAUUCUUUAGAGAUCAGCAUGUUAUACAGUCCUGUCCUAGGCACUCACAAGGCAAGGAACAACUUCCUCACAGUAUGGAUCCAACCCAGGGGCUGUCUGCUUACUGGUAGCACUUUAGAUAUUCUUUUCUAAUAUCAAAUUAAGAAAGACUGAUAUAAAAUACUUGACACAUUUACAUAAUUCGGUUUGCCUAGCUGAGUGUCUGUUAUGUUACUUUCCUCUUCCUCCAGUCAAAAUAAAGAAUAAGAAAAUUUUCAAGAUGAAAUAUGCCCAUAUUUGAAGGCCUGUGAAGCUCUGUUUGACUUAAGCUGUGUUAAGAUAUCUCUCUCUAAUCAUUUACUCGCUGAUGUUUUCAAACAGCAGAACAUCACAGCCAAUAAAAAUAUCCCACAGGACUUGGAAAAGGUCUGGGAACAAUUCCAUCCCAGAGAGGCAACUGUUGAUGUUCCAGACCUACUGCAAUUUGAGAGGAUUUUUUUUUACCCAUGGUUAUACAAAGUGAGUGUUGAGCUCUGGUCUACCUUGCAGCCUAUUGUGAAUAAGAGGGAGUCAAAUAACAAUUAGUCUCUUGAGAAAUGUUAGUUCAAUUGAAACAAUGACAUAACUGGUAAUGACAAGCACAGAACUGUAUUUGGUCUUCUGCUAUACUCACUCUUGCCAUCAGUCAUUUAUAUCUGCUUUUCUCUGUCACAAUACCAUGGCAUGAGGACCAAUCUUGUGGACUUAAGGUUUGCUAUUUUGUUAUUGUGGUCUUUCAUAACAGAGCCUUGUUAUUCUUUGCAGAACCUUCUGCUAUAGGACAGUGGGGACUUGGAAGAAAAGUAUGAGCAAUGCAUAGGCACAAGGUGGUGUCCUGAUCCUGAUGCACAGAUUCUUGGUGAAUAAAGAUAGCUGUUGUGGGAGACAGAUCCUUGAGAUGAGUUUCUGAGAAAAAAAAAAAAAAAAAGAAAAAAAAAAAGGUGCGAUGGGCUGAAAUUAUUUUUAAAAUACGGAUUUUGCUACUCCCUGAAUUAGUUUGAAUCUAGUUAUAUCCUAAAAAAAUCCAGCCAGUGCCUGUAACUCUUAUUUCCCAAGGGCUGUAGCAAUUCUGGCCCUCUAAUUAGGUUUUAAAUUAAAUAAGAAUGAACACAGGUUGUGAAAAAAAUCUAGUAUGUGUGGGAAAGUAUUGUUGUGUACCUUUUGGAGUCAUAUUGACAUGUUUCCUUAAUUGACAAAGGAUUAAUGUGAGAAGUGUGUUAGUUUAAGGGACUAACUAAUCCAGAUAUUUUCUGGAAGAAUAAAUGAUACUUUCCACUUUAACUAACUGAAGCCUCAGUGCACAGGUAACAGCCUUGUCACAGAGAACUGAAAUUAGAGCAACCAUGUUACCAUGCUUAUGGUUGUGACCUGAACUGAAACCAGACAAUGGAGGCUGAUUCUACUCAUGUUUUUUUUUUUUUUUUUUUUUUAUGGAAGUUUUUGGUCUAAAGUACUGCAUAUGCUUCACAUACUGUUCUUCAUGGUCAGAAAGAAGGUAAUGAAUGGAGGUCCGGGAGUUCACUCAGUAAUUCCUUUUGGAUAGUACAGCUCGUUGAGCUUAAAAAGAGUAGGGGAGUUCCAGGCAUGACAGUUUCUGACAGCUCCACUUGUGUUUGUCACUUCAAGAGCAUUGGAUGUCAGUUCACAGGUGAACAUUGAAUAGUAGCUAAUUCAGUGCUGAAUCAAUUUAUAAAGCUUUGAAAAUAUUUGGGCCUUUGGAAAGGAAAAAGAGGAGAAAAGAAGGACCUUGAAAAAUAAAAUAAAGAAGAGGGAAUUCUGUUUAGUCCCUGGCAGAAUUAAGAUUUCAUUGUGUAAAUUUGAAAUGCAGAUAAAAUGUCCCCUUUUCUAGAAACCUGCUCAUACUAAAUCCCAACCAUGUGCUUAAGUCUUACUGUUCUCACUGCAAAUGAAGGAUCACGAAAGGUCAAAAACUCAAGGAACUUGCAGAGAAGUGUUCUAAUUAGUCACUUUCUGCAUCCCCAUGGCACUAAUCUCUCAGUGACAUUGAGGCAGGAGUCAAGUCUGUCCAGCAGCAUCUCAAACCAUCUGCUUCAGUAUGGCUGGUUAUGCUUCAUUUAUUUUGACUCCUCUGCAUUCCAUCUGACUUCCAAAUUUGUCUUUGGUUCUGGUUAUCCAAGUAAAACUCUAGACAUGUGAGUGUAUUCUGGUAAUGACGCAUACCUUUCCUGGUGAUGAUGUAAUUUCUCCCAUCAUCCCAGUUUUGGGGUAGAAUUUAGUCCUACCAGUCAUUCACAUGAAGCAUUGAUAACAUCUGCUCAUCCUAUUUUUUUUUUUUCCUAGUCUUGUCUUUCUUCUCAAGGACCAUCUGUUUCUGAAUACUUGCACAUUUCUGAAAUGCCCCCAUUCCCUUCAGUUUUUGUUUCAGAGUUUUAUUCUUGCCUUUUCAUCAAGCUCUGUAGAUCUAUUCUUCAUUCUUCUUCUGAUGUCUGCCUACCAAAUUCCAGUCUUUCCAAAAUCUCAUGUUCCUGUGAUUCUGUUGUGCCUUAAUUCUCUUGUGGUCCCUUCCAACCUCGGCCAUUCUGUGAUUUUGUGAUUCCUGCAGUGCCUUGCAGUGCGCUUUGUCUUUCUUAUGCUCUCUGUUCCCAGAAAUUCUCUUCACCACUACUCUUGAGACAACUGAUCAUAAUGUUUUGGUCUAACAGUGACACUUGCAAAGUGUGUACGCUGACAGAUCUCUCUAGGGUGAAGUGUAAACUAUACAUGCUGUUAUAUUCAGUGAACUUGUUUUGCUUCUUUUUUCCAGCUCUGCUAACUUAAUGUAACUACUUGCUUGCCUAAUCACUACUAAAAGAAUUAGCAGCAUUCCACAGGAUGCAGAAGCUUUUUGAAGAAAAAAAAAUAAAAAUCUGUUCUUUGGAAAUAUUUUCAGAACUGCAAAAGUGACUGUUAAAAUAUGCUAGACAUUCUCCUAAUAUAAGCUUGGGUAAGCAAAGAACUGGUGCUUAAAAAUUUUAAAUUUACCAGGAAGUUUGUUGUUCAUUCUAAAAGCAGUGUUAAAAGCUGUCCAUAUUCUCCCAUGAAUCUUUUGAUAGAGAGAAAAGCAUAUAUUAUCUGUUCUGCAUUU